GAGCAAUCUAAUUGUGACUUCUAUCAAUCUACUGACUACUGCUGGUCUGGUUGUCUAGGUGGGUGUCCUCCCUGCUUCAUUUGUUGUUCCUCCCAAGGUUGCACAUUCAGUGGGGCAGGAUGAGAACCCCAGAUAGAAGAAAUGUACCAUCCUUCAGUCAAGGAUGUGCUUCUCUCUUAGAACAUCCAAACAAAUUCAAGGUCCAUUUGUAGGAGAACACAGGAUAGCCAAACUUCUAAUACUCUAGACACGUUGAAAUGAGAUGCUGCACAUGGCAAUUUGUCACUCUUU
rnacentral:snRNA from 1 species